GGUGAGGUAGCUCAGUCGGUUUAGAGCAACAGAAUCAUAAUCUGUAGGUCGCGGGUUCGAUUCCCUCUCUCACCA